rnacentral:rRNA from 1 species
GACGAACGCUGGCGGCGUGCCUAAUACAUGCAAGUCGAGCGAAGUUUUUCUGGUGCUUGCACUAGAAACACUUAGCGGCGAACGGGUGAGUAACACGUAAAGAACCUGCCUCAUAGACUGGGACAACUAUUGGAAACGAUAGCUAAUACCGGAUAACAGUAUUUCUCGCAUGAGAGAUAUUUAAAAGUUGGUUAUGCUAACACUAUGAGAUGGCUUUGCGGUGAAUUAGCUAGUUGGUGGGGUAAAGGCCCACCAAGGCGACGAUGCAUAGCCGACCUGAGAGGGUGAUCGGCCACACUGGGACUGAGACACGGCCCAGACUCCUACGGGAGGCAGCAGUAGGGAAUCUUCCGCAAUGGGCGAAAGCCUGACGGAGCAACGCCGCGUGAGUGAAGAAGGAUUUCGGUUCGUAAAGCUCUGUUGUUAGGGAAGAAUGGAUAUGUAGUAACUAUACAUGUAAGAGACGGUACCUAACCAGAAAGCCACGGCUAACUACGUG